CAGUUUGCCUGACACUGAGAGCCCCAGGAAUGUACAUAGCUGGUCCACGGUCAGCAACGAGUUCCGGAGGCAAUGAACAGUGGUCUGAGUAAACUGUCAGGGCCUGUAAUGUGGGUUGUCUGCACUACCAGUUGGAGCCUGGAGUAGAGUUGGUGUCGUGGUUUGGAGUGACACCAAGGAUCACAGCUGGAGUGAGAGUCCGAAGCCACACCAAAGGUUAAACCAGAGUCCGAGUUACACGAAGCGUCAAGCUGGAGUCAAUAACUGGAGUUAGCACAAGGAAGCAGAACCAGGAACGAGACGCCACCGGGGAAGAGGCUGCAGGAUCUGGAUUACUGAAGCCAGCGAUGGACACCGACGAUGGAUGACAGAUGUAACACACGGGAGUGCCAAAGAGAAGCCUACCAAAUGUUGAGAAGGUUGGAAUAGAAGUGUUUGCUCUUGGCGUAACACCCACAAGGAAGUUUACAUCCAAUCUAGCCAGCAUAUUGUGAAUGGACCAUUCAAGUUGAUGUCCCAAAAAAGAACACUUAACUCUCUCAUAGAAGAAGCUUGGCUCCACCCGGUGAGCUUUCCAGUGGACACUUUAACCAGAAUAUUAUGGCUGGUCCAAAGAGUUAUGUAAGGACAUGUGACUUGCUCAUGUGAACUUGGUUUCCAUUUUGUGCCUGUAAUUUUCCACAAACCAAGACUGAGAGCACCUCCUCCACAUGGGAGAAGGUAUAAAGGAUCUGGAAGCAUCUCUAUUUUGCCUCUUUCCUGCUCUGAUCUCUGGACUAUGGAUUUACACUAAAAGGAGCAUAUUGACUACGGACUGAGGACCAGAGACCGCACAAGCCAAUCUGAUCCAAGAACUUUGCAAUGAUUGUGUGUAUAUGAUUUCUUUGACCAUUUUAACG